GAAGUGCAAGAAAACUUGCAGUAGUUUCUAAAGCGCAUGGUCUUGAAUUGGGACACUUUAGCACCCGUAACAAUUUUCAAAGUGAAGUAUUACGAAGAAACGAAGUAUUUGCGUUGACAUAUGUUGAUAGAAUAAUUUUUCCUAGCGAAAACUGCUCAACUUCUGCGAAAUAGCAUUUCUCUGAGAAGCCAAUCAGAUCUCUUGCUCUAGUCGUCUAACCCAGAGCCUAAUUUUCAACGAGUGACCGAGUGAAAAUGGCUCUGGGGACGAGAAUGGUCCACC